GACGGAGGGGGCUAGCGUUGUUCGGAAUUACUGGGCGUAAAGGGCGCGUAGGCGGAUUAGUAAGUUGGGAGUGAAAGCCCGGGGCUUAACCUCGGAACUGCUUUCAAAACUGCUAGUCUUGAGUGAAGUAGGGGAUGAUGGAAUUCCUAGUGUAGAGGUGAAAUUCUUAGAUAUUAGGAGGAACACCGGUGGCGAAGGCGGUCAUCUGGACUUCAACUGACGCUGAGGCGCGAAAGCGUGGGGAGCAAACAGGAUUAGAUACCCUAGUAGU
rnacentral:rRNA from 1 species